rnacentral:rRNA from 1 species
AUUGAACGCUGGCGGCAUGCUUUACACAUGCAGGUCGAACGGCAGCGCGGGCUUCGGCCUGGCGGCGAGUGGCGAACGGGUGAGUAAUACAUCGGAACGUGCCCAGUAGUGGGGGAUAGCUCGGCGAAAGCCGGAUUAAUACCGCAUACGACCUGAGGGUGAAAGCGGGGGAUCUUCGGACCUCGCGCUAUUGGAGCGGCCGAUGGCAGAUUAGCUAGUUGGUGGGGUAAAGGCCUACCAAGGCGACGAUCUGUAGCUGGUCUGAGAGGACGACCAGCCACACUGGGACUGAGACACGGCCCAGACUCCUACGGGAGGCAGCAGUGGGGAAUUUUGGACAAUGGGCGAAAGCCUGAUCCAGCAAUGCCGCGUGUGUGAUGAAGGCCUUCGGGUUGUAAAGCACUUUUGGCGGGAACGAAAAGGACUGUGCCAAUACCACGGUUCGAUGACGGUACCCGCAGAAUAAGCACCGGCUAACUACGUG